rnacentral:rRNA from 1 species
UCACUAAGCGGAGGAAAGCAACUAACCAGGAUUCCCUUAGUAGCGGCGAGUGAAGAGGGAAGAGCCCAGCGCCGAAGCCUGCGGCAGCGAUGCUGCUAGGCAAUGUGGUGUUUGGGCUGACCGGUGGGACUGCGACUCCACUCGAGGUCCGGCAUUGAGUACGGUAGACGGACUUGGCCCAGAGAGGGUGAGAGGCCCGUACGGGUGGAGGUUCAGACGUGUCUAGCGCAUGUUCCUCAGGUCAGCUCGAGAGUCGGGUUGUUUGAGAUUGCAGCCCAAAGUGGGUGGUAAACUCCAUCCAAGGCUAAAUACAAGCACGAGUCCGAUAGCGAACAAGUACCGUGAGGGAAAGUUGAAAAGUACUCUGAAGAGAGAGUAAACAGUACGUGAAACCGCAUGCAGGUAAGCGGGUGGCGUCAAGCUGCUAGCCCGGAGGAUUCAGCCGGCUAGGAUGUGUGUGUGCGCUCGGUGCACCUAUUGACCAGAAUAAGAUGAAGUGGUCCACUGGUAGAGAGUGGCCCUCUUGGUUGCGUUCUUGUAGCGUGGCUAGGAGGUGAUGCGUGCCGGAUGGGUGCCGGAGCAUACUACUCGUCCGUAGGGUCAACUAGCCGGUGCAUUUCCUCUGUGGUGAACACCACGACCGAUGGCAUUGUUGGUCUGCUGCGGUCAAGUCGCACGCGAUUGGUGUCAUCUGACGUCAAUUGUACGCGAUCACAGUCAGGAUUUGUAGACGGCGUUGGGGUGUUUCGGCACUUUAGCGUGUUAUCGUCUGCUGCCUGCAAACGAGCCAGCCCUGUGGUUAUUGUGGCCUGCUAUAUGUGUGAUCACUUGCUGGCUUGGUGGACCGUGGUGGUGUUAAUUACCAUACAAGGCAUCGGGGUUAGCGACCUCAUGUGAUAGCAUCAUGCAUCAGGACGCAAGUCACGGGCGUCGUGUUUGCCGAAGGGAGACAUUGGAGUAGUCUGCUUGCUGUCUGGCUCUGAUUGUCGUGUUGCCUGCGCAAAGUAGGUCCGGCAGUGGUCAGCUGUGAGAUGGACUGCUAUUACCGGUGUGCCUCGUGAUGUGAUGCUGGGGGUCAUAUAGUCAGUGGUGCUGUGGUAGACGAGCUACCCGACCCGUCUUGAAACACGGACCAAGGAGUUUAGCAUGCAUGCGAGUCAAGGGGUCCUACGAAACCCAAAGGCGCAGUGAAAGUGAAGUCUCAUUUGCAGUGCAGCAGCAGUUUGUCUGUUGUUGCCGUAGUGAGGUGAGGUGAGAUCCUGCUGUUACUCGCACGCACGUGCACUCGGUGCCGGGCUAAGAGCAGUGGGCGCAUCACCGGCCCGUCCCAUGAUGUAGUUGUUGGCUCGUUCCUCGGAGCGGUGUCAGUGCAGACAUCGGGGCGGAGCAUGAGCAUGCAUGCUGAGACCCGAAAGAUGGUGAACUAUGCUUGCGUAGGUUGAAGCCAGAGGAAACUCUGGUGGAGGACCGUAGCGAUUCUGACGUGCAAAUCGAUCGUCAAACGUGAGUAUAGGGGCGAAAGACUAAUCGAACCAUCUAGUAGCUGGUUCCCUCCGAAGUUUCCCUCAGGAUAGCUGGCGCUCAUUCGCAAGAUCAGUUUUAUCCGGUAAAGCGAAUGAUUAGAGGUGCUGGGUUCGAAACGAGCUCAACCUAUUCUCAAACUUUAAAUGGGUGAGAUGCCCGUCUCGCCUAAUAGGAGUCGGGCGUUGAAUGUGCGAGUGCCAAGUGGGCCAUUUUUGGUAAGCAGAACUGGCGCUGUGGGAUGAACCAAACGCUCGGUUAAGGUGCCUAACGCUGACGCUCAUGAGAUACCACAAAAGGUGUUGGUUAAUAUAGACAGCAGGACGGUGGCCAUGGAAGUCGGCAUCCGCUAAGGAGUGUGUAACAACUCACCUGCCGAAUUGACCAGCCCUGAAAAUGGAUGGCGCUAGAGCGUCGGACCUAUACCGGGCCGCCACCGCAAGCUGGGUGACUGCCGUGCAAGAGAUUGUGCGUGCGAGCGGCAUGUUAGUAUGAACUACUGUGACCGUGGAGAAGUCGUGACCCAGGCAUGGACUGCGGUGGCGAGUAGGAGGGUCGCCGUGGUGCGCGUGGAAGCUUCGGGCGUGAGCCUGAGUGGAGCCGCCACGGGUGCAGAUCUUGGUGGUAGUAGCAAAUAUUCAAGUGAGAACCUUGAAGGCCGAGGUGGAGAAGGGUUCCAUGGGAACAGCAGUUGGCCAUGGGUCAGGCGGUCCUAAGUGAUCCGGUGACUCGGUACGGAGUCGUGGGGUGCCUUCUAUGUGUGUGUGUGUGUGUGUGUGGUGGCCCCUCGGAGCGAAAGGGAAUCGGGUUAAUAUUCCCGACCCUGCCCACGGAGAUAGGUGACGUCUGGGGAGGUGGUUGCAGCACUGUAGUCACUUCGACCGGGCGUUACUAAGCGCGGUAACGCAAACGAACUCGGAGACAUCGGCUAGAGUUCCGGGAAGAGUUAUCUUUUCUUUGUAAGGACGGUUACCACCCC